CAACCUUCCAACUUCUAAACGCCCUCUUCUUUCUCUGACCCCCAUAUUCUGAUUUCCAUAUAGCAUCCACCAUCCUGGAAUUCCAGUGAGACCUAGCUCCCGACUUCUCAGCUCCUCCUUGGUUUCUGAGUCCUCUAAGGUCCCUCACUCCCAACUCAGCCCCAUGUCCUGUCAAUUCCCACUCAGUGUCUGAUCUCCUUCUCCUCACCUUUCCCAUCUCCCGUUUGACCCAAGCUUCCUG
rnacentral:lncRNA from 1 species